UACAGAGGGUGCGAGCGUUGUCCGGAAUCACUGGGCGUAAAGGGCGCGUAGGCGGUCUGGUAAGCGUGUGGUGAAAGCCCGGGGCUCAACCCCGGGUCGGCCAUGCGAACUGCGAGACUGGAGCCGAUCAGAGGCAGGCGGAAUUCCGGGUGUAGCGGUGGAAUGCGUAGAGAUCCGGAAGAACACCGGUGGCGAAGGCGGCCUGCUGGGAUCGAGCUGACGCUGAGGCGCGAAAGCUAGGGGAGCAAACAGG
rnacentral:rRNA from 1 species